AACUUAGAACAGACAUUCAGUAUAGUUCAAUAAUUUUAACGGUUACAUAUAAAUUGCUAGGUCUAAUAUUAAACAUGUAAAAUUUUAAACUUCUCUUUAAAAUUACAAUCCAAUUAAAGCAUAAGAAUAUAAGUAAUUUUCGUAUGACUAUUAAAUUCAUAUACAAUAUAUCAAAGUACGACUUUCCAAAACAUUUAUCUAGCCUGUACACGUCAUAAUUAAAAUUUAAACAGUUUAAUACCGAGACAGUAGAUAGAGUGAUGAUCUUGCUAACGAUCCCCGAGCUUGAAGCUUGAUCUUUAAGUAUAUAAAACAGAAAGACAUAAACAAACAAAGUAAGCUUUUAUAGCUUAGUAAGUCUAUUGCAUAAUGAAAUAUAUAUAUAGAAAUAAUAUAACUUUUUAAUUUAAUUUAAUGAGAUUGCAAUUAACACAUAUAAUUAAUAUUUAUGCAUUUACUGUACUUAGACCAUUUUAUUUAUAGUCAAAUAUAUGUACCUGUCGAAAUGCGUUUAAUUGAAUAUAUAUAUUUAUACUGAACAACAUUACAACCAAAUGAAUAUAACCGAGCAUAUAUGUAUGUUAUACACAUAUCAUAUCCAACUGUGUAUGUAUACUCAUAAUAAACUUAUAACCAAAUACAAAUCUAAUACAUGUGACCAAAUGCAUUCAUCUUCAUCAAAUAAUUAUAAAUAGAGGUGUAUACAUUUCAAAUGCAUAUGUAGAUACUUAUCAAAUAGUUAUAUCUCAUAUUUGUAUAUAUUAUCCACAUAAAAAUUCAACUCAAUAAUUUAUAAACUAUAUCUUUAAUCCACAUAGUUAUAUAAAGUUCAGACAUCAAAUUCAGCUCAAUAACUUAAUUAUACAUCCGAACAUAUAUAUAUAACUUAAUACAUUAAAGCCUACUACCUAAUAUCAUGCAUUCGAACACCUUAUGAUAUUCCAAACUAAUAAUUUCAUAUCUUCAAUUUCAUUCAAGAAUUUUUACAUGAAUAUACAUACAUAAUCGAACCUCCCUUAUACAUAUAUAAAUUUCAUACUUAAACUCAUUACAGAACAUAUAUAUAUAUGCAUAUUUGCAUAAUUGAACCUCAUAUAAACUUGUAUAAAUGGCAUACCUGAAUUCAAUACAAGGACAUAUACAUGUAUAUUUGCAUAUUAUAGAUCCAAUACAAAGUUUUAUACCAAUAUAAACCUAUGUUUAUUUCCGAAUCUUAAGUACACACACACACACAUAUAUAUAUAUAUACCUUUUAUUAAACCAAUACUUUAUACUUGUAUAUACAUGUAUAAAUUCAAAACUUGUACAUAUAAAAAUAUAAAACUUUUAUACUCCAACUAAAUUUGAUAACAUUUAUAAUUGUAUAUCCUUAUAUACCUUCAUACUUUAACUAAAUUCAAAUGACCAUAUAAGCAUAUACCUAUGAUUCGAACAUGUAACAAUAAUGCAUAUAUUCACUCAUACUUUUAAUUAUUUCAACCAACAUAUUUUAAAUUAUAAUUCAUCAAAAUACAGCACAUAUACAUACCUAUAUAUUGAUUUUUAUGACAUUAAAUAGCUAAUAGACUUACCUCAGACAGUGUAAAAUCGAAACCGAAUGAUUAGUCGACGACUUUAACUUUUCCUCGAUCUAACUCUGAUUUCUUUGGUUCUUGAUCUA
rnacentral:lncRNA from 1 species